rnacentral:rRNA from 1 species
UACGUAGGGGGCAAGCGUUGUCCGGAUUUAUUGGGCGUAAAGAGCUCGUAGGCGGUUGGGCAAGUCACGUGUGAAAUCUCCACGCUCAACGUGGAGGCGCCACGUGAGACUGCCCUGACUCGAGUCCGGUAGGGGAGCGUGGAAUUCCCGGUGUAGCGGUGAAAUGCGCAGAGAUCGGGAGGAACACCCGUAGCGAAGGCGGCGCUCUGGGCCGGUACUGACGCUGGAGGAGCGAAAGCGUGGGGAGCAAACAGG